AUGUUGCAGAGCUGGAACGGGAGGAUUCCGGGUUUGUCAAAUAUUUUUUUUUUAUACCACGCUGCCGUGCCAAGAGGAACGUGUGGGUUUGGCGGAGGGAAUAAUGAGUUAAUUGUGAUGAAAUGGAAUUCCAUCUCUCGGAGGAUCUCCUGGCUGGGAGGAGGUCGGGAUGAUGGAAUUUCGGGGCAGGUGUACGAGGAGAGCGCGGCAGCGAUGAGCGGUUUUUGUUUCUGCUCUGCCUGCAUCCAUCACCUCCUGGGCUCUCAGGAUUAUCCACAUGGCAAAAAAAAAAAACAAAACCCAAAAAAAGUCAUUUCCCUCCCAAAGGAGAGUUUUGCACGUGGAUCUGCGCUAGAGCUGCCCCGGCGAUUUUCCAAAUCUGAGCUCCGGGUGAGUUUUCUGUGCAUUAACAAGCCUGGAAGUGGGAAGAAUUCCACUUUUCCUCGUGUCCAAAAGCAGAGGUGGCUGUUCCAAAGCCCAGCUGCUGCAAAAAGGGCGAGGCUGCCAUCAACCCACAAACCCAAACCUGGCAGAGAGGCGAUGGAUCCUCUCCACCUCUCCCUGCCUCCUGUGGGAACCCGGCGAUUCCUGCCCGCCGUGCCAACAAAAACCUUGGAAAAAAAAAAAAUAAAUAAUAAAAACCCCGACGGAUCCACAUUGAAACCAACACCCAACAGAGCCAAGAUUAUCCCGGGAACAACCGGCCCAGGAAUUCCCCCAGCCACGGAUUGCUCGGCCAAGCCAUUUUUCUUUUUCCCGACGCGAUUGAACUGGGCCGGGCGCAGCACUGGGAGCCAAAACCUUCCCAUGAAUCACAUUUUAAUCCGCGUCCCCCGGCCCUCGGAUGUCGCAGGGCUUCAAAGGGGUUCCCAGUUUCCACCUCGCCCUCUUUCUGUGGGGUGUUGCCCAACGCCGGCGCUCUUGGAGGGUUUUCAGAGAAUAUUUGCAGCGAACGCAAAGGAAUGUGAGAAUAUUUGCCAGCUGUGCUCAGUGGUUUCGUGUAGCAGCUCCCAGAGGUUUCUGUGA
rnacentral:lncRNA from 1 species